GAUGUCUACAAGAUACAUGACCGACCCACUGAACAGCACACUAAUGGAAUUUCAAAUUAGUGGGGAAGAGCAAGAUGAACAGUCUUCAACAGCCACCCCUGCUCCUGUGCCCUAGUUCUACAUACCUUGGCGCCCCGAAAUGCCUGACAGGCUAUCUGACCUCAGACCUGCAUCUUAAAGCAAGUUACAGUGGGAGCACAUUUAGGGGACAUGGGCCCAAAGGCCUUAGCUGGUUUUUUUUUGUUUGUUUUAAACUUUUGACACCAGGUGUCGUUCACACGUGGACAGAUCUGCAUGAAUAUGUGACACUGUAGCUGUUAUCUGGGAAUUGGAACUCUCUCUUAUUACGUUUCGGAAUUCAGAACAGUGGGAUACAGGAACUGUCGCCAUUUAUUCAUGUUCCCGGUUCGCUUCCAAACAAAGAGCUUACCUCACACUUUUUUUUUUUUUUUAGAUUCUCUUGGAAACCCUGGGCAUCUCACCACAACAGAGGUCAGCCGAUGGCAUAUGCUACAUGAUUCUCAAAAGAACGGCCCUCAUGCUAUGGGCAGCACUUUCGCCUCUCCCUCCGCGCGAAGCACACGCCAGUCCCGAAGCACAAUGUUCUCCUGACGCCUCUCCGUGCGAGGCGGCCGCUGGAGAGCCGUGUGUCGAGCUGGAAUCCGAAAGGCUUGCAUACUUUCAGCGUCUUCCGAGAGAGGACUUUGAAGUCUGACCGGACCACCUACAAGAAAAUUCCAGAACCCUCCCAGUGUGGUUUCUUUCGGCUUGAACUAUACAAUGGAUUGUUGUUUUUAGAAAAGCAAUGCAAAAAAAUUCUCCAGAUAUCAACACACACACACAUUUAAGAACUAAAAUUGUUUCCUUUGUGAUUUCAUAAAAAUGAAUUGUUUGUCAUUUAAAAAACAUGUUCUUAGAAAAUGUUCA